CUGCACUGUUCAUAACCUGGUUCAGCUUCAGUGUGAACUUGGGUUCCAUUCCAGUGCUAGAGUAAAGUCCCGUGAGGCAGGGGAGCAGUGCACGCUCAUGCUACUGUUCCCCGUUCACUCUCAGGAAACAUUU